rnacentral:lncRNA from 1 species
GGAAUUUCAAUUCCAUGGGGUAAUAUCAGUGUGUUUAAAAAAAAAAGCAGCGAAUCUUUGGUAGCAGAUGCACGAUGUACACAAAACCUGGCUGGAGAAAUAUCAUUAGCAUGAUAGCAUGCAUAUAUGAAUUCUGUAAGGUGUGAAGACAUAGCUCCAAAAGAUGUGUUAUUUUAAGCCCGGGAGUGUGGGUGUGCUACCAUCUUGGCAGAGUUUAAAAUUAACCACAGUUUCAAAGCUGUAACUUGUGUAUUCAAUGUGGGAAGAUGUAUUGCAGAAAUAGAGCAAGUGCUGGAAUUUUUACCCUCUGCUUUUGUUGGUACUUUGGAGCACAUGAUGAUGCUGUUAUUCUAAUGAAGAAAAUGUGCACGAAUGAGUGACACAUUUGGCUAUUGGGAAGCAUGCUUGUUGCUUGUAAGAGACAACAAGAUUACUAAUUUAUUCUCCUAGAAAGUUUUGAUAGCAUUCUUAUAUGUAUUCAGUCAAUCUCAACAAAAUAUCCUUCACAACCAUGCUAAUUGUUUUUUGAAAUCGUGAGUUUUUACUGUGGGAGUCUUAAUGACAGAUGUAAUGCCAUUUUCUGUUACCUGACCUUCUUAGUCUACUCGAGGUCAUCUGUUGCUUAUUUUGCAAUUCAGUGAUUGGUUUUUGAGGGGUUUAGUUGAUUAUAUUGCAAUUUAGUAUCUGGUUUUAUAACAUUUCUAAAUAACUCAUGAGGAAUUUAUAUGUUAAGUUAUGUGGAAGUGUGACUUGGAACCAAGUUCCUUACAUUUUAGCCACAACUAUGUACAUUUUGAGAGCACAUGAAACCUGUGGUUUCUCUUGCUAUUUGUUCUAUUUCUCACUAGUUUGGCCUUUGUGGGUUUUUUUUUUUUUCCCUCCUGUUUUGAAGAAUCUGUUCAGUACCAUGUCUGUUAGAUCAGCUGGCCCUUGGCACUGCAAUGAAUACAAAGUCACUAAAACAGAUGGAGAAAUUUAAUUUUUAAGGAGAAAAGGAUUCCAUAGCAACAUCGGAGUUAAAUAUACAUCUGGUCACAUUAACAGGGACCCUGCUGUUACAAACCAAACAUGUACACACAUACGUGUGAUCUGGAGAGGAAUAUUUAAAGUACUUGGUACUCAUCUGUUCCCUCAAAAUCUUUUCUCUCUUUGAAUGGAGAGUAUGUUUAACUUUAUUUGAGAGAGAGAGAAAGAGAGAGAGAGAGAGAGAGAGAGAGAGAGAAUGUGUACACUUAGCAAGUCAGAUAGCUUUUUUGACAAGGUUUAAAGCCUUCAUUCUAUAAGCUAAGUCACAUUUUAAAAUAUUUGCCCAUACCUCUGUGAUUAGAAACCAUUCUUUCAUUUUCAGGCUUAGAUUAUAUGUUCAGCAGUUGUGAGUGGUGCGUGACAGUUUGGUUCCAAAUGGCCUAGGCACUGGCAGGAAGCACCAGUGCUAAAUAUACCUCUGUGGGAUCUAGGCAGAGUGUCAAAAACCUGGUGAUGAUCAAGAUAAAAAUAAUCAACCGAUGAGUCCCCUCUCCAUGGAAAAGAGGCAGGCUAGGUCAAAUUGUAUAACAGGGUUAAUCCAAAACUCAGAAAUUAGAAAUGAUCCAAAAAUCAAAAAUUUUAUGAGCAUAGACACGAUACAAGCAGCAAGGAAAUCCCACAAUGUAAAACUUAAUUUCCUGCACAAAAUGAUUG